CACAAGCUUUCAGUAGGUGAACCUGCGGAAGGAUCAUUGUCGUGACCCUGACCAAAACAGACUGCGCACGCGUCAUCCAAUCCGUCGGCGACGGCACCGUCCGUCGCUCGGCCAAUGCCUCGACCACCUCCCCUCCUCGGAGCGGGUGGGGGCUCGGGGUAAAACAACCCACGGCGCCGAAGGCGUCAAGGAACACUGUGCCUAACCCGGGGGCAUGUCUAGCUUGCUAGCCGUCCCUCGUGUUGCAAAUCUAUUUAAUCCACACGACUCUCGGCAACGGAUAUCUCGGCUCUCGCAUCGAUGAAGAACGUAGCGAAAUGCGAUACCUGGUGUGAAUUGCAGAAUCCCGCGAACCAUCGAGUCUUUGAACGCAAGUUGCGCCCGAGGCCACUCGGCCGAGGGCACGCCUGCCUGGGCGUCACGCCAAAACACGCUCCCAACCACUCUCAACGGGAAUCGGGAUGCGGCAUCUGGUCCCUCGUCUCUCAAGGGACGGUGGACCGAAGAUUGGGCUGCCGGCGUACCGCGCCGGACACAGCGCAUGGUGGGCGUCCUCGCUUUAUCAAUGCAGUGCAUCCGGCGCGCAGCUGGCAUUAUGGCCUUUGAACGACCCAACAAACGAAGCGCACGUCGCUUCGACCGCGACCCCAGGUCAGGCGGGACUACCCGCUGAGUUUAAGCAUAUCAAUAAGCGGAGGAGGAUCCGUG
rnacentral:rRNA from 1 species